AUGCGGUUCAUGGGUUAGUUUACUUUUUUGUCCUACAUUGCCACUGGGGCUCGUCCAAAGAUUUUACCUGAGCCCAGAGCACAUUGUGGAUUAAACGUCAGCUGAAUGAACCCCUUCCUGGUGAGCGAGAUGGCAGAGCGUGGUGUCGAAGGUGAACUAACUCAGAGGCUUCUUGGUGUCAAGGAACAGCAGAAUGGAGAGGUGACAGACCCAGAGCUACCUGCAGAUGAGAGAAAGCAGAGGGACAGGGAGGAGCGUGAAACCUUGGUGUUAUGGAAGAAACCUCUACCCACACUCCACUACUUCUCUCUGGAACUGCU